AGGAACACGUGGGUCAUCUGCCUUGAGGUGAGGAAUACCGGCGAGAAAUCGCCGACAAUACCGCAUACGUUUCGGCAACGAAACAAAGCUCGCAAGAGCGCCACAAGAUGAGCCUGCGGCCGAUUAGCUGGUUGGUGGGGUAACGGCCUACCAAGGCGACGAUCGGUAGCUGGUCUGAGAGGACGAUCAGCCACACUGGGAUUGAGAACGGCCCAG
rnacentral:rRNA from 1 species